GGAGAUAUAUUCACAAUACAUGAGUGCUAUGCAAGAUCAAUUUAGAAGAGCUUUUAGCUUAGACUUCUAAAUCAACAUAGACACCAAAACUUAUCGAUAAUAUAAACUUUAAUCUCCGUCCAUAUAUACACACAUGAUGUUCAAGCCUAUCUUUAUAAUUACGUAUACACUCCUAAUCAACACCCAUAAAACACCUUUUUCAAAUUCUACAAUCCUUUAUUAAGACAACUUCUGGGCACUGUUCUUAAGAAAACACUCACUAACUUUUCCAAUUAACUAAGCCAUGCACAAGACUUCACUUCAAUAAUUCCCCACCUACAAACCUAGAUAAACCAUCACACAACCACUUUCACAAACACAACAUGAAAUGCUUUAAAUAACCAUGACAUCCAUCAAAAU
rnacentral:lncRNA from 1 species